UAGAUAAGGGUAGAAAUUUGCAGAUCAUUUUGGGGACUACAAUUGCUCUUCUUCUCUUCAUCAUAACAGUUAUUGUCAUCUAUUAUCAUAGAAGACGUAAAAGUGAAAAAAUAACCAAAUCUGAAAUUAGUAUGUGGGAGAGCAGUGUAAACAACAGUCAAACAGUCAUUUACCAAACUGUGAAAGGUACAGGUAGUGCAAAGAAGGGAAAGAAACGAAAUAAAAUGAAACAGACAACAAAGGCAGACAUGGAGAAUAUCCACUACGCAUCCUUGGAACUGCACAGCAGAUGACAAUGAAGAUCAAAAAGCAUGUCAGGAACAGAUACAGCACUCAGACUGAAUGGUGACCAAAUGUGGCAAGCAAUUCAGCAACAUUAACAUCAGGUUACUAUACAUAUAGCCCACCGAUUCAGCACUAUAACAGUGUGCAAACAUCCAUCAGUUAUAUAGUGACAUGUCAUUGUGACUCCAGGUUCAGCAAAAUCAACCAGAGCAGGACGCAUUAAAAGCUUAUAUAUAUGGUAAAACCCUAACUUGGUAUAAAAAAAAAUCAGAGAAUGGGAU